rnacentral:rRNA from 1 species
AUAGCCUAGGAGAUACACCUGUACCCAUGCCGAACACAGCAGUUAAGCCCUAGAACGCCUGAAGUAGUUGGGGGUUGCCCCCUGUUAGAUACGGUAGUCGCUUAGC